rnacentral:tRNA from 1 species
GCAAGCAUGGCAUAGUGGUUUGCGUGUUGGACUAUGACUCUGGGGAUCAGGGUUCAAUUCCCAGCUCGGUCA